rnacentral:rRNA from 1 species
UACGGGGGGUGCAAGCGUUACUCGGAAUCACUGGGCGUAAAGGAUGCGUAGGCUGGAAAUCAAGUCGAAAGUGAAAUCCAACGGCUCAACCGUUGAACUGCUUUCGAAACUGGUUACCUAGAAUAUGGGAGAGGUAGAUGGAAUUAGUGGUGUAGGGGUAAAAUCCGUAGAUAUCACUAGGAAUACCGAUUGCGAAGGCGAUCUACUGGAACAUUAUUGACGCUGAGGCAUGAAAGCGUGGGGAGCAAACAGG